UAUUCUUUGGGUAAAUACCUAGUAGUCCAAUUGCUGGAUGGAAGGAUAGUUUCAUUUUUGACUUUUCAAGGAACCUCCUUCUGCUUUCCAGAGUGGCUGCACAAGUUUGCCUUCCCGCCAUCACUCGGCCUCUUUCUGAUAGGACGAGCUCUGAGCUCUGAGCCAGGUACUCAGGGAUAGCCUGGGGCUCCAUCCCGACUGAACCAGACCAUCAGUGACUCUGCAUUAUGACAAGGCAGCGCCAACGUAAAUCUCCGAGUCCCACGUAUCCAGGUGUCCCAAGUCACAGGAGAGAAUGAAGUCCAGAGAGGCUGGGACACUCACUAAGACCCGGGAAGGUGAACUUCAUCAGUAGCGGGGGAAGAAUCCGGUUCCUGGGUUCCUAGUGCGAUUACUCAGGUCCCCCGCCCAAAGAUGUCUGUGCCUGCAGGAGCUGGGAGGGCAGAAAUCCAAGCCUCCCGCUCUGGAAUGGACAACAGGUGCAUCUGGCAAACGGGAGAGAUGAGCAGGGGAUAGACAGGCAAGAGAAGAAUGAGGUGGCAGGGGCUCUGGUCCUCUCCUGCCAGCGUAUCUUAGUACCAGGCAGCAAAUGGGAAGAAGAGAAGGAGAGGAAGGCUUACUGGAAGUUUCCCAACACUCUUCUGCUACAUUUCCUGUGGUCAGAACCCAGCUGUCUAAGGAGUCUUUACUCCUGGGUAUAGGGGACAGUGUAUGGGCAUAAAUGUCAGGCUUCUGUGUCUAAGGAAGAAGGGGGGACAGAUACAGGUGGUCUGCUGGCUGGCUUUGCCAAGGGCUGCGAAAGACCCUUUGGGAUGGGGGUGGACAGGGUCAACUGAGUCUUUUUACUUCUCCCACGAUCAGGUAUCUCGGCUUUGGUCUUCUUUGGCUGACUUGGCCCCUUCCCUGUGCUAAGUGUAGAGGAGGGCACCUUGUGCCUGGUAUCAAGGGAGGUGGUAAAGAACCAGAACAGAACCAAGCACAGACAUCUUAGAUCAGGCACCUGAAAGUGCUGUUUCAAACUUGCUCCGCCCACCUGUCCUCUUAGUUGUGUUGGGAUAUAGGUUGCUAUAUUGAUAAGAUAAGGGAGAGGAUUGUGGGUGCUGAGAUUGCUUUCACCUACACAUAAAACUUUGUAAAAAUUUCCUCCAAGGAGCUGGAUCUGGCAUAAGGCAAAGCCUCUCUCUAGAUGCCAGAGAGCGUCCCCACGUUUCUGUCUACCAAACAGGUCUCGCAAGAAACCAGUGUGUAAACUGGGGAGUCUGGCAACAUUCCAGGAGGGAUAAUAAUUCUGUGCAAAUCCUAAAGCUCUGGGAUGAGCUGAGAAAGCUCUCCUGCCUUGGACUUGGGAGUGAGGGCAAGAAGAGCAGUGACCAGGAGUGCAACCGGGGAAAUGGCCCCAUCUCCUGGGUGAAAAUGGACAGUGGUGGCAUGGAGCCAAGGCUCUGGCAUUUCCCAGGGUUGGGUCCUUCCUCGAUCACUUUUUUAUCCUAUGACCUUGGAAUAAUUUCUUUCAUUUUCUGAACCUCUGCUUCCUUACCUGUAUGGCAUGGAUAAUACCAGCUCCUGAGGGAAUUGCAUGAGGGAAUGCACACAGCAUGCUUAACCCAGUGUCAGGUGCCUGGUGUGGGGUCUAUUGGUGGUUGUCUUAACUGGCAUUUCCAGGUGAUGAGAGCCUGUAUACUUCAGUGUGUAGAGAGUUACAAUCUUUUUUUUUUUUUUUUUUUUUAAAUCAAGAAGUGCUCCAGGAGCGAGGAAAGGAUUAGAGUGGAGGAGGGGUGCUGUGGCAAGCAGAUGGACUGCCAGGAAGUAAACUGGGCUUAUUUACCAUUUCUCCAUGGCUGGUGGAUGAGAUAAAUGAGAGGCAUCAUGGUUCGGAACCGCCACCCCGCCACCCCUCCACCCCCCCCCCAGGUUCAGGACAGUCUGCUGGAGAGAAGAGUUUCCAAGAUUGACUAUGGAUGAUUUUAUGUUAUAACGACAGCACUGAGCCUGCAGAGUCUAAAAUAUUUACUUAUGGAAGAAUGUUGCCAACCUCUACUCUAGAUCAUCUGCUGGUGGCCCUGUCAGCCGAGGUGUAACUGAACCCACGCGGUGACCGUGGUGAUGACGGAGGAUGACAUGAUGAUGGCAAGUGAACAUCUCUUACAUGCCUGCCACGUGCCAGGUGCUGUUAAGACUUUCACAUCCACAGACGCACUCACUCCUCCUGCCGUCUCCAUGGUGGGCACUAUAAUUACUCGGAAACAAAGAAACCAGGGCUCAGAGAGUUUAAAAAAAACUCACCCAUGUAGCUAAGAAGCAUCGCUGGAAGAUGCUCCAGAAAUCCUGCCUUUCCAUCAUAAAAAUGUGGAGGCUUUGUCUGUCCGAAUGCCACUUCCUUUGUGAGGCGUUCCCCAAAUCCCAUCCGCUCCCCCCCGGUGACGUGGCAUGUAAGGGUGUGGGACGUAAGACCUGAGUUUGCGCUGUCUUUGACGAGUCGAAGCUGUGUGGUCCGAGGCCAGUGGUUUAACUUCUCUGUCUCCCACCUGAUGACAAUGGGACAAGCUGACCUGGCGGUUGUGAGGGUUAGAUAGGAGGAUGCAGGCAGAGCCCCUGCGGGGUUCCAGCACCUACAGCCCCGCUCCCCCCAUGUGUCUUCCCACACUGCAUGCAUUUGUCUUCCUCAUAUGACUGAGUAUCUGGGGGGGCAAAUUCCAUGUGUUACUCCUCUCUGGAAGUAUUUCCUGUGGAACUUUGGAUAAAGCCAGUCGAUCAGGUGACUAGAAUUGGGAUAACAGCAGCUAAUGCUUAUUGCUGUAGACCUCCCGCUGUGCUGGGCUGAGUCCUUCCAGCCACCCAGCUGCGCAGGUAUCCUCAGGCUUGUUUUGCAGGUGAGGGGAUUGUCUGUGGGUCAGUUAAGUCAUUUCCUUGGGAUCCCACUCUCGGGAAGGGGAGGAGUCAGAGGUGGACUCAGGGGGUAUGGGUCCCAAGUUGGUGCUUGUAAUCACUAUCCCAGAGGGUAAGCUGCUUCCUCCCCAUCAGGCAGAUGAUGUAGCCGUGGAGCCGGAGCUGGGGCCGAGCUCUGGGGACUGCCAGUCCCGUGCUCCUCACGGGAGGUGUGCCCUGUCAUAUGACGCUGUGAUUAAUUGGGAGAGAAGCUGUAGGAGGUUGACAUUUCCCAGCCUCAUCUGUGUUUCCUGCCCACACACCGGGCCCUGAAUGUCAAAGCCCCCCACGCUGCUUUGCUGGAGGGGAGGAGGGAAGCCCACUCACUAUUAUUAAGCAAUUAAAAAUAUGGGCUAAGCAGACUGGGACAACCCCCCUUCCCUGGUAUGUCGGGCAGCAAGGUAGCUGGCUGUAUCUUGCUCACGCUGAGAGACAUUGCAGCGACUGAAUAGAAAGUGGCUCCUCUCAGCAUUCAGGGGAGGCGGCUCUGAGCAGCUCACUCAUCACCUUUCCAGGUCUGUGACCCAAACAGCCUGGAUGUGUUGAGGAGUGGGGACUAACGGGUGUACCCAGUGACCUCUGAAAUCCGUGGUUAUAUCAUUAUUUGCACAAAAGUGAGGCGGAGUCUAAAAUCUUUCUCUGGAUCUUUGGGUCUGUUCCCCAAAUGAAUGUGUUCCUCAUCCCACUCCCCUGCAAUGGUCUAGAACCUCAAAAGUCAAGUUCAUGUCAAGUUGGACCCAAAUCCUUCCUAUGUUUCAUUUCCACCUAUAAGGAUGAGUCUAGGACUUAAUCUAUUACAAGAAGAAGUAGGGACAGAAGAGGUUGGUGGUAUGGUCUGAGUGCUUCAGAAUUCAUAUAUUGAAAUCCUAAUUCCAAGGGGAUGAUAUUAGGAGGGGGGGUCUUUGUGAAGUGAUUAGGUCAUGAGGGCCUAGCCUCAUGAAUGGGAUUAGUGUCCUUAUAAGAAAUGCCUGAGAAAGCUCCCACAAGGAGCAAAAGCUUCUAAAAAGUUUUUAUUUUGAAUUAAUUUUACCCUUACAGAAAAAGUUGCAAAAUAGUCCAGCUCUUUUCUGAGCGUCCCCUGAUGUUAACAACUUCUGUAACCAUAGAGCAAUGAUCAAGAUGGGGAAAUUAACAUUGGGCCAAUCUAUUAACUGAACUACAGGCUUUGGAUGUUCUACUGCUGCUGUCCCUUGUCUACCCCAGGACCCUCUGCAGCAUCCCACACUGAGUUUAGUUGCGAUUUCUCUUUCAUCUUCCGCAGCCUCUAACAAUUCCUUAAUCUUUCCUUGCCUUUUAUGACCUUGACCCUCUCAAAGAGUAUAGCACUGAGGGCACAGCUUCACUUCCGUGGAAAAAUACCACUUCUGUGGUUAUUUUUGCCCCAAACACAUAACCUCAGUCCAAUCAAGAGAAAACAUCAGACAAAUCCAAGUUGAGGGGCGUUUAACAAAAUAGCUGGUCAACUGAUACUUUUUUGAAAUAAACUUGAGCCUCUGCUUUCAUACUCUGUUGAUCUCGAAAUAGGUUUGGGGACACUGCUCCCUGGGGUUAGAAAAAUAGGACACUCAGUUGGAAUUCUAACAUGCAACCUUGUGAGGGAGCAGUGGGUCUUCUCUUGGGUGAUGGGGAUAAUCCUUGACAAAUGGUUGGAGCCAUGGAUUCUGGUCUCAGCUCUCUCCUGACAGUCAGAUGCCUCCUAGAUAUCUUUCUGUGAAAUGGUGCUACCUCUUCUCCAGCCUCAGAAUCCAAUAUGAUCAUGCAGAAGGGCUUUUUGAUUCUCCAGGGAUGAUGUGCACGGAGCGCCUUAUCAUCCCUAAACUUUGCGGGGACCCAGUUAGGUGAGAAGCUGGAAGCUUGAGCUUUGUUGGUCAAUCAACUUUCCCACCCUCCUUGUUAGCUGUAAUGUUGGGGGGGGGGAACCAGGAAGAAGAGAAGAGGCAAUGUACCAGAUAUAUAUACCCUCCAACUUUUGCUUGAGGGACGUAAGCUUUAUAAGAGAUGUAGUAUUUCUUUCAAUGAAUACUUCCAAUCAUCUACUGUGUGCCAGGCAGGUAUGCUAGGUGCUGGUCAUAUGACCUUGAACGAAACAGCUGAAAAUCUCUGCCCUGUGGAGGUAACAUGCUAGUGGGGGAGCCAGACAAUAAGCAAAAUAAAUAAGUAAACAUUAGAAGGUGAUGAAAAUCCAUCUUUGAAUUGAUAAAAGUCAAAAUGCCUUUGGAUAAAAUCUAUGCUGGGGAGGCUGACAAAUUGGAAUGGUUAUAAAAUAACAGAUAGCUUCCAUUAGGGGUGGGAGAAAGGGUAUUGCCAAUGUCUCACCCACUUAAGCUUUCUCACUUCAAGUCUCAAAUCAAACUCUUACUUUGUGUAAUUAGACAAUCCAUGUAGCAGUGGAAGUGUCAUUCCUUUGACCUGGGAAAACGCCUCCUGAUCAUUCCCUUUUGGCCCCCUGCAUCUUGGGAGAGAAUAUGAAGGAUUAAAAGCACCAGGAGGCAUUCAUCCUUGGAAUAGGAACACCAGGAUAAUAACUGAGAGACGGAUUACACACAUCAUUUGGGGGACAUUUGAAAGAGCAUGAAGAAAACGGUGGAAAGAUGUCCCAGACUGUCAAUCUGUUAAUAUCAGAAACCUGGUGUUUUAGAAGAAUGCAGGGUGGCAGUGUUGGGGGCGGGGUGCGUGAGGUGGGUAGGUGGUAGGAAUACUCAGGAUACUUGUCUGUUUGGCUUGUAGAAACAAGUGAGUACUGCUUUUAUCAUUGAAAAAAGAAAAUCGAAGGAAACAUUUUAACGGACAAAUAAAAA